GCGGGCGUGGCGGAAAUGGUAGACGCAAGGGACUUAAAAUCCCUCGUCCCAAAAGGACGUACCGGUUCGAUCCCGGUCGCCCGCACCA
rnacentral:tRNA from 1 species